UACGUAGGGUGCAAGCGUUGUCCGGAAUCAUUGGGCGUAAAGAGCGUGUAGGCGGUUCGGUAAGUCGGCUGUGAAAGUCCAGGGCUCAACCCUGGGAUGCCGGUCGAUACUGCCGGACUAGAGUUCGGAAGAGGCGAGUGGAAUUCCCGGUGUAGCGGUGAAAUGCGCAGAUAUCGGGAGGAACACCUGCGGCGAAGGCGGGUUGCUGGGCCGACACUGACGCUGAGGCGCGAAAGCUAGGGGAGCGAACGGG
rnacentral:rRNA from 1 species